rnacentral:rRNA from 1 species
GUGGGGAGCAAACAGGAUUAGAUACCUGGUAGUCACGCUGUAAACGAUGUCGAUUUGGAGGUCGUUCCCUUGAGGAGUGGCUUCCGGAGCUAACGCGUUAAAUCGACCGCUGGGGAGUACGGCCGCAAGGUUAAAACUCAAAUGAAUUGACGGGGGCCCGCACAAGCGGUGGAGCAUGUGGUUUAAUUCGAUGCAACGCGAAGAACCUUACCUACUCUUGACAUCCAGAGAAUUUAGCAGAGAUGCUUUAGUGCCCUCGGGAACUCUGAGACAGGUGCUGCAUGGCUGUCGUCAGCUCGUGUUGUGAAAUGUUGGGUUAAGUCCCGCAACGAGCGCAACCCUUAUCCUUUGUUGCCAGCACAUUAUGGUGGGAACUCAAAGGAGACUGCCGGUGAUAAACCGGAGGAAGGUGGGGAUGACGUCAAGUCAUCAUGGCCCUUACGAGUAGGGCUACACACGUGCUACAAUGGCGUAUACAAAGAGAAGCGACCUCGCGAGAGCAAGCGGAACUCAUAAAGUACGUCGUAGUCCGGAUUGGAGUCUGCAACUCGACUCCAUGAAGUCGGAAUCGCUAGUAAUCGUAGAUCAGAAUGCUACGGUGAAUACGUUCCCGGGCCUUGUACACACCGCCCGUCACACCAUGGGAGUGGGUUGCAAAAGAAGUAGGUAGCUUAACCUUCGGGAGGGCGCUUACCACUUUGUGAUUCAUGACUGGGGUGAAGUCGUAACAAGGUAACCA